UACGUAGGGACCAAGCGUUGUUCGGAUUUACUGGGCGUAAAGGGCGCGUAGGCGGCUUGACAAGUCACUUGUGAAAUCUCUGGGCUUAACCCAGAACGGCCAAGUGAUACUGUCGAGCUAGAGUGCAGAAGGGGCAAUCGGAAUUCUUGGUGUAGCGGUGAAAUGCGUAGAUAUCAAGAGGAACACCUGAGGUGAAGACGGGUUGCUGGGCUGACACUGACGCUGAGGCGCGAAAGCCAGGGGAGCAAACGGG
rnacentral:rRNA from 1 species